UGGAGGAUUUGUCGCGAAACUCGAUUUACAAUCCUUCCAAUCGAUACAUUUCAUUUCAAUUAAAAAAAUUAAACACGACAAAAAUAAGAAAUUAAUAUUGACAUUAUUUAUCACAGAAGAGUGUAGCAGAAACAUCAUCGAUCGUGUUCGUGACUCGACUUUAAGGAUUUAGUUUCCAUCGUUUCCGAUCAGAGUGUCAGCUCACAGAUUGCGGGAAACGUCGUUUCCAUCUUCCCAUUCCUUCCAUCUGCCAUGCCAGGGGAAAGUAUGAGGAACGAUGGAGUUGUUCCGAGUAAAUACAACGGAAAGACAAUUCACCGUUUACUGAUACAUCCGUCAGGGUUUAUGUAACACCCUCGAGGGGUUGUCGUGGUCGAGAAACGAGGAAAAUGGAACAUUGGAGCUACAAUACCGUCGACCAUCAAAGUGUUACAAAUAUCUCUCUCCGAGUCUGAAGAAUUAUGAAGAUGCGAUAAAAUGUACACGAAACGCGUUCAACCUAGAAGUCAUUCAAACAAAUUCAGUGAAAGUGGAGAGGCAAUUAGUUGAAUCAACACGCGGCAAAUAAAAAUGUCUGAUCAAACAUCAAAUAGCGAAUCAACUCAGAGCUUUCUUGAUGGAACUUGAUGGCCAAAGAAACGAAAGUACGUCAGCGAGGUGAAUACACAAGAUACAGUGGAAUACCAGAGAGGUUUCCUCCAUUCCCCUGGAUUUACAGGCAAAUAUUUAACGAUGAUGGUUAAUAAAAUGUUCAUCGAGCCUCGUUGAGGUAACCUCUGUCAAUACCACAACGAGCCCCGAGUCCAUAUUACAGAAGGAAUUGCAUAAUUCAAAAUUCUACGCGGAGAAAAGAGAAAGAAAUAUGGUCGCAUACGACGGUCUGCGGUUCGCGAAAUUCUAUAGAGGGAACGUAUUUACCUUGUAUCCCAAAGUUGGUGCUCCUAUCGUAAACAGAAGAGUAACAUGUCAGCCGCGGUAUACACAAAAAUAACAUCGUAUAUAAAGGGAUGAGGGGGUUGGUUUUAUGUACAGUCGCAGCCGGAAGCGGGAGAAUUUAUGUGGAAUCGUGCACAGAAUAUAUUUACUAAAUGCGAGCAUACCGACCCUGGACUAUGAUGUUCGAAGGAAAACAUACCUGCGGAACUGGAGGAACAACGGAGAAAAGACUCCAUGAAUGUUAUUUUUAUUUUAGAUUCACUGCGAUGAAGUGCAUAAUCUUCUCGCUGCUUAUUAAGGUUCAAAGGCGAUUCGUUUAACCAGCAGAGAAAUAAUUCCCACCGACAAAGAAAAAAGAGAAAGGAGGUAAAAGGUGUCCCAGACGAGAGCAAAACAGAAAAUGUGUAAGGAUCUCGUUGAAGGCGUCGUUUGUUACCGGAAUGGUGGUAGACAGGAUCGAAAAAUCAGUGGUUUCUACGAACAGAGACAAAAGAAAUAGAACAGAUUGAAGACUGGACAGGCGUGGGUGGACGUAGCUGAAAAAAGCUCAUUUUCGUGGCGUUUAUCGAGUAAAAGCACCUCUUCCCACCAUAUUGCAACGGAGACCAUAUGUUCCGGUAGCUCUGCUUUCUUCUUUACUCCAGCAAAUACGAUCGUUUUUAUUCUUUUCUUGGUCGUUUCCUUCGUCCUCGAGGUUCCACGUUACCGCCAGCAUCUGGUUGGCUGGCUUUCUACGUUUUAUAAAGUACGUGACUUCCCUGCAACGAUGCGUAACCCCGAAAGCCUUUGUUUCUUCUUUUCCAACACUCUCUCACCCCCUUAUCCAUCGGUUUAAAUCAUUGUUUUCCAUCGCCUUGGUAUUCUCGAAGGUCCAUCGGGUCUGUGUAGCAUUCCAAUUGCAACUCGUUCAGUCUAAUACUACAUAUCGCCUGUGAAACUACCCCGAUGCGCUGAAAAAUACUCUGCCACGGUUUUUCUUCGCCGAGAACGGAGGUGCCGAUAAUUUCAACAUACAGGAAUAAAGGUUUAUGUACUCGUGGAACUACAGGAUCUUGGAUCUACCAAACUCUGCACUACGGUGGUCCGAAGUUUCUUUAAUAUGCCCAGUGACUGCAGAUACAAAAAGGAUGGACAUGCCUUUGUUCUCGAGAGGUCAUGAUUUUUAGGGUCCCCAAACACACACAGAAUGGCUUAUCAGUUCAUCUCUAACCAAACCUCGCACUUAUAAUUGAGAAGACACAAUUUUGACUCCCUUUGAUUUUAUUUUUUUUUAUUAAAAUA